AGCAGCCGCGGUAAUUCCAGCUCCAAUAGCGUAUAUUAAAGUUGUUGCAGUUAAAAAGCUCGUAGUUGAAUUUCGGGAUCAAUAUUUCGGUCAUGCCGUUGGUAUGCACUGUUAUCAUUGAUUUCUCACCUUCUAAAGAACCGUAAUGCCAUUAAUUUGGUGUUACGGGGAAUUAGGACUGUUACCUUGAAAAAAUUAGAGUGUUUAAAGCAGGCUCACGCUUGAAUACAUUAGCAUGGAAUAAUGAAAUAGGACAUCCGAUUCUAUUUUGUUGGUUUCUAGGAU
rnacentral:rRNA from 1 species